rnacentral:piRNA from 1 species
UGGAAUGUGAAUCGUAAGCCUCUGCCUGG